rnacentral:rRNA from 1 species
UACGGUGGGGGCAAGCGUUGUUCGGAAUUACUGGGCGUAAAGGGCUCGUAGGCGGCCAUCUAAGUCAGACGUGAAAUCCCUCGGCUUAACCGGGGAACUGCGUCUGAUACUGGAUGGCUUGAGUUUGGGAGAGGGAUGCGGAAUUCCAGGUGUAGCGGUGAAAUGCGUAGAUAUCUGGAGGAACACCGGUGGCGAAGGCGGCAUCCUGGACCAACACUGACGCUGAGUGAGCGAAAGCCAGGGGAGCAAACGGG